AUUGAACGCUGGCGGCAUGCCUUACACAUGCAAGUCGAACGGCAGCAUGGAGAGCUUGCUCUCUGAUGGCGAGUGGCGAACGGGUGAGUAAAGCAUCGGAACGUACCGUGUAGUGGGGGAUAACGUAGCGAAAGUUACGCUAAUACCGCAUACGCACUGAGGUGGAAAGCAGGGGAUCGUAAGACCUUGCGCUAUACGAGCGGCCGAUGUCAGAUUAGCUAGUUGGUAGGGUAAAGGCCUACCAAGGCGACGAUCUGUAGCGGGUCUGAGAGGAUGAUCCGCCACACUGGGACUGAGACACGGCCCAGACUCCUACGGGAGGCAGCAGUGGGGAGUUUUGGACAAUGGGGGCAACCCUGAUCCAGCCAUGCCGCGUGAGUGAAGAAGGCCUUCGGGUUGUAAAGCUCUUUCGGCCGGGAAGAAAUCGCACAGGCUACUACCCUGUGUGGAUGACGGUACCGGCAUAAGAAGCACCGGCUAACUACGUGCCAGCAGCCGCCGUAA
rnacentral:rRNA from 1 species